ensembl:snoRNA
UAUUCCCUAAGUGAACAAGAAUUCUAACUGCUGUGUCACAUGUGUGUCAGUAGGUGGCAGAGAGAAAAGAGGCUAUGCCUACGUUCAACUCAGUGUUCUUCCCUGUGAACAUCUGAAUAAUUAGUACUUUAACAUU